ACCUGUUCCAAAUAAGAGUAUUGAAUAUACCUUUACACAUGUCGUAAGAUUAACUGUAUUAAGCACUAAAAUUAAUCAUUUUUUCCUUAACAGUCCCCCUUUUGAGAUCUUCACCAAAGAUCUCACUAAAAAUUGAUUAAGCCUUCUAAUACAGAACCAAAACUAUGUAUUAAACUAAUAAAAAGAAAAAACGAAAAAAAAUAGAAAACAAAAGAGUGACGUACCCUAAUUAUAUACAGUCCCCCUUUUUAAACAAAACCCAAGGGUAAGAAAUACUUAUCCUUACAAAAAUAUAAACUCAUAAAACAAAAUUAUCACAAUCCAACCAAAACACAGGACAAACAAAAACCCAAAGUAUAAAAUGAAAAAAUAAAACAGGGACAUACAUAGAAAAAUUAGUAAGAAAUAGCCUGCAACUUAAAGGACAACAUUCAUCACAAAAUUACCAUCUGUCAAAAUGAGAAAGACACAAAAUUACAAUCUGUUGCUCGUCUUUUUUCUUUUUAAUGUCCAUCGACAGUCUCUCAAAAAAUAUGAAGUCUUCGUCAGGAAAUGUUCAAAAAUGCGCGCAAAAAACGAAACGAAAGUCCUUUUCAGAGUUCGCAACGAACAAAAACACGCAAUAAAAAGUUAAUGAUGAUCCUCUUGCAGCCUGAUCUUCUUCAGUCGGAAACCUCAGGAAAUGACCUGUCACAGGUUAUUAAAACAGACAUUUUGUUACAACAUGAAUUUCAUUAGCAUCAGAAACACAAUUACAACAUUCUUUAAUAUCAUCUUCAUUACUGUCAGCAUAAUCAAACAAUGGUUUCACCUAAAAAAUAAAUUUGCUUUGUCAUUCUCCAUCAUUACUUUAAUCCUUUUUAUCAAAGAACACAGAUUUUGAAUGAGACCACAUCCGCAGGGCACCAGGAAAACAGCUGCAAAACUGUAAUGACAAAACAGAGAUCAGAUUCUCCAAAGGCAUCAUUCAUUUGUGUAAUCAUCACAAAUAUCUUCAAUUCACUAUGUGUCCGAGUGAAUUCUCCAACGCUCGUGGCUCUGUGGCUGCUAUCGUCGAAAUAAGGUGAAACCGCUUCUCCAAGCAGUCCCACUCUGCCUCGAAUGACAACAGCUUGUGUUACAGAGUCCAGAGUCCUACCUGGAGCUCGGAACUCCAGGCCAGUCUGUGUGUAAAACCAUGAGCAACUCAUCACGUGAAGCCUUAUCUCCUACUUUGUCCAGUUCUGCUCAUUAAAUGGUGGAUGUGAUCCCUUCAAUUUACGUUUCUAUUAUUAUUAUAUACUAUAGCUCCAACCGAUGGAAAACACCAAAACCCUGUAAUCAUUUGCUUCAAAAGACAUGUUUCCAAAGUAAUGUUUUACCAGAAUGUUCAACAAAUGCAGAUCUUUUCU